GCUGGGUGUGGUGGUGCACGCCUGUAAUCCCAGCUACUCAGGAGGCUGAGGCACAAGAAUUGCUUGAGCCCGGGAGGCGGAGGUUGCAGUGAGCGAAGAUCAUACCACUGCACUCCAGCCUGGGUGACAGAGUGAGACUUUGUCUCAC
ensembl:misc_RNA Metazoa_SRP Metazoan signal recognition particle RNA